GACCUCUUUUCAUUUGUUUUGGAUAUUACCAAACCUAGCCUAGCCUUCAUAAAUCACACUAAAGCGGACACCCAACUAUGGAAAAGCCUCCUUAAGGGUGGGUUAGGUUAGUCAAUCCGGCCCGAGACGCGUUCGUUGACAAAACCGCCGUAGGAAUUCCUACUUUUCAAUAGAGCGGAGGCGAACUGAUCAACGAGAAAGAGGCCCUACUCACUACAAACGAAUACACCACAAGAUCGAACUGCACUCAUGCCUCUCCCGCAUCAAGUUGACCGCCCCCCCUACGUAGUGA
rnacentral:lncRNA from 1 species